GCUGUAGACAUUCUUGAGGAUUGAUCCAUCCUUCUCUGUUCUCCUUAAGUUUGCUAGAUUGUCUGCUACCAUGUUCCCUGCUAUUCCUGCGUGUCCAGGUAUGUAUGCACUGGCAUCCCACUUGAAGUUUGUAAUAGCCUGGAUGGCUGAUUUUGAGUCGGUAAAGAUGGUUAUUGUGUCCCAUUCCUGGUGGUAUGUGGCAUGCGCAUGUUGAUGUCCUAGUAGUUUCGCAAGAGGAUCCAUCGGUAAAUAUGGAUAGGUGGUCUGCUGGUUCAUAGUCUGUUAACUCUUGGAAGAGAGUUGAGGUACGUAUUGGGUUAG